rnacentral:rRNA from 1 species
ACGGUGAUGGUAGCUGCUCCGCCGGAUCAGUGGCGAACGGGUGAGUAACACGUGGGCAACCUGCCCCAGACUCUGGGAUAACUCCUCGAAAGAGGCGCUAAUACCGGAUACGAACUCCUUGGGCAUCCUCGGAGUUGGAAAGUUUUUCGGUCUGGGAUGGGCCCGCGGCCUAUCAGCUUGUUGGUGAGGUAACGGCUCACCAAGGCGACGACGGGUAGCCGGCCUGAGAGGGCGACCGGCCACACUGGGACUGAGACACGGCCCAGACUCCUACGGGAGGCAGCAGUGGGGAAUAUUGCGCAAUGGGCGAAAGCCUGACGCAGCAACGCCGCGUGAGGGAUGAAGGCCUUCGGGUUGUAAACCUCUUUCAGCAGGGAAGAAGCGAAAGUGACGGUACCUGCAGAAGAAGCACCGGCUAACUACGUGCCAGCAGCCGCGGUAAUACGUAGGGUGCAAGCGUUGUCCGGAUUUAUUGGGCGUAAAGAGCUCGUAGGCGGUUAGUCACGUCGGAUGUGAAAUCCCAGGGCUUAACCCUGGGCCUGCAUUCGAUACGGGCUAACUAGAGUGUUGUAGGGGAGACUGGAACUCCUGGUGUAGCGGUGAAAUGCGCAGAUAUCAGGAAGAACACCGGUGGCGAAGGCGGGUCUCUGGGCAACUACUGACGCUGAGGAGCGAAAGCGUGGGGAGCAAACAGGAUUAGAUACCCUGGUAGUCCACGCCGUAAACGGUGGGCGCUAGGUGUGGGGACCAUUCCACGGUCUCCGUGCCGCAGCUAACGCAU